UACGUAGGGUCCAAGCGUUAUCCGGAAUCACUGGGCGUAAAGCGUGCGUAGGCGGAUUGUUAAGUGCGAUGCGAAAUCCUGUGGCUCAACCAUAUGGACUGUAUCGCAUACUGGCAAUCUGGAGGAAUGCAGAGGCAAGUGGAAUUACUGGUGUAGCAGUGAAAUGCGUAGAUAUCAGUAGGAACACCAAUGGCGAAGGCAGCUUGCUGGGCAUUUUCUGACGCUAAGGCACGAAAGCGUGGGGAGCGAACAGG
rnacentral:rRNA from 1 species